GAUGAACGCUGGCGGCGUGCCUAAUACAUGCAAGUCGAGCGAACAGACGAGGAGCUUGCUCCUCUGACGUUAGCGGCGGACGGGUGAGUAACACGUGGAUAACCUACCUAUAAGACUGGGAUAACUUCGGGAAACCGGAGCUAAUACCGGAUAAUAUAUUGAACCGCAUGGUUCAAUAGUGAAAGACGGUUUUGCUGUCACUUAUAGAUGGAUCCGCGCCGCAUUAGCUAGUUGGUAAGGUAACGGCUUACCAAGGCAACGAUGCCUAGCCGACCUGAGAGGGUGAUCGGCCACACUGGAACUGAGACACGGUCCAGACUCCUACGGGAGGCAGCAGUAGGGAAUCUUCCGCAAUGGGCGAAAGCUUGACGGAGCAACGCCGCGUGAGUGAUGAAGGUCUUCGGAUCGUAAAACUCUGUUAUUAGGGAAGAACAAAUGUGUAAGUAACUAUGCACGUCUUGACGGUACCUAAUCAGAAAGCCACGGCUAACUACGUG
rnacentral:rRNA from 1 species